AUUGAACGCUGGCGGCAUGCCUUACACAUGCAAGUCGAACGGUAACAGGUCUUCGGAUGCUGACGAGUGGCGAACGGGUGAGUAAUGUAUCGGAACGUGCCCAGUCGUGGGGGAUAACGCAGCGAAAGCUGUGCUAAUACCGCAUACGAUCUAUGGAUGAAAGCGGGGACCUGCAAGGGCCUCGCGCGAUUGGAGUGGCCGAUGUCAGAUUAGCUAGUUGGUGGGGUAAAGGCCUACCAAGGCAACGAUCUGUAGCUGGUCUGAGAGGAUGAUCAGCCACACUGGGACUGAGACACGGCCCAGACUCCUACGGGAGGCAGCAGUGGGGAAUUUUGGACAAUGGGGGCAACCCUGAUCCAGCCAUGCCGCGUGUCUGAAGAAGGCCUUCGGGUUGUAAAGGACUUUUGUCCGGGAGCAAAUACCCAGUGCUAAUAACGCUGGGGGCUGAGAGUACCGGAAGAAUAAGCACCGGCUAACUACGUGCCAGCCGCCGCCGUAACAC
rnacentral:rRNA from 1 species